UAGGUUAACGAGGCGAACCGGGGGAACUGAAACAUCUAAGUACCCCGAGGAAAAGAAAUCAACCGAGAUUCCCCCAGUAGCGGCGAGCGAACGGGGAGCAGCCCAGAGUCUGAAUCAGCUUGUGUGUUAGUGGAACGGUCUGGAAAGUCCGACGGUACAGGGUGAUAGUCCCGUACACCAAAAUGCACAGGCUGUGAACUCGAAGAGUAGGGCGGGACACGUGGUAUCCUGUCUGAAUAUGGGGGGACCAUCCUCCAAGGCUAAAUACUCCUGACUGACCGAUAGUGAACCAGUACCGUGAGGGAAAGGCGAAAAGAACCCCGGCGAGGGGAGUGAAAAAGAACCUGAAACCGUGUACGUACAAGCAGUGGGAGCACCUUCGGGUGUGACUGCGUACCUUUUGUAUAAUGGGUCAGCGACUUAUAUUCUGUAGCAAGGUUAACCGUAUAGGGGAGCCGCAGGGAAACCGAGUCUUAACUGGGCGUUAAGUUGCAGGGUAUAGACCCGAAACCCGGUGAUCUAGCCAUGGGCAGGUUGAAGGUUGGGUAACACUAACUGGAGGACCGAACCGACUAAUGUUGAAAAAUUAGCGGAUGACUUGUGGCUGGGGGUGAAAGGCCAAUCAAACCGGGAGAUAGCUGGUUCUCCCCGAAAGCUAUUUAGGUAGCGCCUCGUGAACUCAUCUUCGGGGGUAGAGCACUGUUUCGGCUAGGGGGUCAUCCCGACUUACCAACCCGAUGCAAACUACGAAUACCGAAGAAUGUUAUCACGGGAGACACACGGCGGGUGCUAACGUCCGUCGUGAAGAGGGAAACAACCCAGACCGCCAGCUAAGGUCCCAAAGUCAUGGUUAAGUGGGAAACGAUGUGGGAAGGCACAGACAGCCAGGAUGUUGGCUUAGAAGCAGCCAUCAUUUAAAGAAAGCGUAAUAGCUCACUGGUCGAGUCGGCCUGCGCGGAAGAUGUAACGGGGCUAAACCAUGCACCGAAGCUGCGGCAGCGACACUAUGUGUUGUUGGGUAGGGGAGCGUUCUGUAAGCCUGCGAAGGUGACCUGUGAGGGUUGCUGGAGGUAUCAGAAGUGCGAAUGCUGACAUAAGUAACGAUAAAGCGGGUGAAAAGCCCGCUCGCCGGAAGACCAAGGGUUCCUGUCCAACGUUAAUCGGGGCAGGGUGAGUCGACCCCUAAGGCGAGGCCGAAAGGCGUAGUCGAUGGGAAACAGGUUAAUAUUCCUGUACUUGGUGUUACUGCGAAGGGGGGACGGAGAAGGCUAUGUUAGCCGGGCGACGGUUGUCCCGGUUUAAGCAUGUAGGCUGAUUGUCCAGGCAAAUCCGGAUAAUCAAGGCUGAGGUGUGAUGACGAGGCACUACGGUGCUGAAGUAACAAAUGCCCUGCUUCCAGGAAAAGCCUCUAAGCAUCAGGUAACAUCAAAUCGUACCCCAAACCGACACAGGUGGUCAGGUAGAGAAUACCAAGGCGCUUGAGAGAACUCGGGUGAAGGAACUAGGCAAAAUGGUGCCGUAACUUCGGGAGA
rnacentral:rRNA from 1 species